CUAUACAUGCAGUCGAGCGGAUCAAGGGAGCUUGCUCCCUGAGAUCAGCGGCGGACGGGUGAGUAACACGUGGGUAACCUGCCUGUAAGACUGGGAUAACUCCGGGAAACCGGGGCUAAUACCGGAUAACUCAGUUCCUCGCAUGAGGAACUGUUGAAAGGUGGCUUCUCCUACCCCUUUCCGAAGGACCCCCGGCGCAAUAACUAAUUGGGGAAGGAACGGCUCCCCCAGGGGAACAAGCCUAACCCAACUGAAAGGGUGAUCCGCCCCCCUGGGACUGAAACCCCGCCCAAACUCCUACGGGAGGGCACCAUAGGGAAUCCUCCCCAAUGGAACAAAGUCUGAAGGAACCACCCCCCGUGGGUGAAAAAAGUUUUCCGAACCUAAAACUCUGUUGUUAAGGAAAAACAAGUGGCCUUCCAAUAAGGCGGCCGCCUGGCGGUACCUAACCCAAAAGCCACGGCUAACUACCUGCCCACCGCCCCCGUUAUACCUAAGUUGCCAGCCGUGGCCCGGAUUUUUGGCGUAAAGGCGCGCAGGUGGUUCUAAGUCAGAUGUUAAGCCCCCGCUCACCUGGGAGGGCCUUGAACUGGGGACUUGAUGCCGAAAAGAAAGUGAAUUCCAGUGUAGCGUGAAAUGCGUAAUUUUUGGAGGAACACAGUGGCGAAGGCGACUUUCUGGUCUGUAACUGACACUGAGCGCGAAAGCGUGGGAGCAACAGGAUUAGAUACCCUGGUAGUCACGCCGUAACGAUGAUGCUAGUGUUAGGGGUUUCCGCCCCUUAGUGCUGCAGCUAACGCAUUAAGCACUCCGCCUGGGGAGUACGGUCGCAAGACUGAAACUCAAAGGAAUUGACGGGGGCCCGCACAAGCGGUGGAGCAUGUGGUUUAAUUCGAAGCAACGCGAAGAACCUUACCAGGUCUUGACAUCCUCUGACAACCCUAGAGAUAGGGCUUUCCCCUUCGGGGGACAGAGUGACAGGUGGUGCAUGGUUGUCGUCAGCUCGUGUCGUGAGAUGUUGGGUUAAGUCCCGCAACGAGCGCAACCCUUGAUCUUAGUUGCCAGCAUUCAGUUGGGCACUCUAAGAUGACUGCCGGUG
rnacentral:rRNA from 1 species